CAGGCUGUAGUUUAAUAAAAAUUGAGGUUUUGGGAAUCUCUGAUCCUGUAGGUGAAAUAGGUGGCCUGA
rnacentral:tRNA from 1 species